rnacentral:lncRNA from 1 species
UUAAGGUCAUGUUCAUGAAAACUCAAACACACCAAUUAGCAACAAUAAUUUGCAGAUUUCACGUACUUUCAUAAUGUAUCAAUUUAACAUAAUACCGCACACAAAUUUCAUACCAUGAUGAACAUUCAAAACAAAUUCAUCAUAAUUUAAUAUCAAACAUACAUAUGCAUAAUCAAUUGGGGAAAAUGAGGGAAAACCUAAAGGAGGAUUAAGGAUUCCUCACUACCCUUUCAUGAAAUUAGCAUCCUAAUU